UACGUAGGGGCCGAGCGUUGUCCGGAGUUAUUGGGCGUAAAGCGCGUGUAGGCGGCUUCGUAAGUCCGUUGUGAAAGUCCAGGGCUCAACCCUGGAAUGCCGAUGGAUACUGCGGAGCUAGAGUCCGGAAGAGGCGAGUGGAAUUCCUGGUGUAGCGGUGAAAUGCGCAGAUAUCAGGAGGAACACCAAUGGCGAAGGCAGCUCGCUGGGACGGUACUGACGCUGAGACGCGAAAGCGUGGGGAGCAAACAGG
rnacentral:rRNA from 1 species